AAGCAGCAGACUCCCCAAGGAUUGGGAAAUGAGCAUGGAACGAGGUGUUGGAACAGAUAGGUGAUGGAGCAUUUGACUCUGGUCUAUUAGUGAGGCACGAGGUGGGGAAGAAGUAUUUGCUGAAGAAGAUCCAGCUAGCUCCACGAACUGACCGCAGUCACCGGUCUGCCUAGGAGGCAGGAGGAGAUGGUGGUGGCAUCCUUAAUCGCCACAAAGUUCCUGUCGGCGGCUGGUGCAUCCUCCUUGAGGCCGCUUCGCCACUUGCCGGCGCAACAUCUGGUCUCCAUCCUUGUGGUCUCCGCUG